rnacentral:rRNA from 1 species
UAGGGAAUCUUCCACAAUGGGCGAAAGCCUGAUGGAGCAACGCCGCGUGUGUGAUGAAGGGUUUCGGCUCGUAAAACACUGUUGUAAGAGAAGAAUGACAUUGAGAGCAACUGUUCAAUGUGUGACGGUAUCUUACCAGAAAGGAACGGCUAAAUGCGUUCCAG